UACGUAGGGGGCAAGCGUUGUCCGGAAUCAUUGGGCGUAAAGCGCGUGUAGGCGGCCAGAAAAGUCCGCUGUGAAAACUCGAGGCUCAACUUCGAGCUGUCGGUGGAAACUUUCUGGCUAGAGUCCGGAAGAGGAGAGUGGAAUUCCUGGUGUAGCGGUGAAAUGCGCAGAUAUCAGGAAGAACACCGAUGGCGAAGGCAGCUCUCUGGGACGGUACUGACGCUGAGACGCGAAAGCGUGGGGAGCGAACAGG
rnacentral:rRNA from 1 species